UACGUAGGGCGCGAGCGUUGUCCGGAAUUAUUGGGCGUAAAGAGCUCGUAGGCGGUUUGUCGCGUCUGCUGUGAAAACUGGAGGCUCAACCUCCAGCCUGCAGUGGGUACGGGCAGACUAGAGUGCGGUAGGGGGAGAUUGGAAUUCCUGGUGUAGCGGUGGAAUGCGCAGAUAUCAGGAGGAACACCGAUGGCGAAGGCAGAUCUCUGGGCCGUAACUGACGCUGAGGAGCGAAAGCAUGGGGAGCGAACAGG
rnacentral:rRNA from 1 species